rnacentral:rRNA from 1 species
GUAUGUCUUGGGAAAUAUCCCAGGUCUCAACCGUGGGAAUCAGGGAGAUACUGUUUUUUAGGAGCCCGGGAGAGGUAGGAGGUACUCCUGGGAUAGGGGGAAAUUCCGUAAAUCCAGGGGGACCACCUGUGGCGAAGCAUCUCACCUGGAACGGGUCGACAGUGAGGGACGAAACCUAGGGGAGCGAGCCGGAUUAGAUACCCGGGUAGUCCUAGGCGUAAAUGAUGCGAGUUAAGUGUGGGGGCAUCCACGAGAUGGCGAGGUGCUGAAGGGAAGCCGUGAAACGUGCCGCCUGGGAAGUACGGUCGCAAGGCUGAAACUUAAAGGAAUUGGCGGGGGAGCACCACAAGAGGUGGAGCCUGCGGUUCAAUUGGACUCAACGCCGGGAAACUCACCGGGAUAAGACAGC